rfam:Homo sapiens chromosome X, GRCh38 reference primary assembly.
GCCGGGCGUGGUGGCGCUUGCCUGUAGUCCCAGCUACUCAGGAGGCUGAGGCAGAAGAAUCACUUGGACCCGGGAGGUGGAGGUUGCAGUGAGCUGAGAUUGUGCCACUGCACUUCCAGCCUGGACGACAGAGUGAGAGUCUGUCUCAA